UACGAGAGGCCCAAACGUUAUUCGGAAUUACUGGGCUUAAAGAGUUCGUAGGCGGCGCAGAAAGUAGGGUGUGAAAGCCCUCGGCUUAACCGAGGAAUUGCGCUCUAAACUACUGUGCUUGAGGAACCUAGAGGUGAGCAGAACUGAUGGUGGAGCGGUGAAAUGCGUUGAUAUCAUCAGGAAUACCGGAGGCGAAGGCGGGUCUCUGGGCCGAUACUGACGCUGAGGAGCGAAAGCGUGGGGAGCGAACAGG
rnacentral:rRNA from 1 species